GGACCGUUAUCUCAGUAGGUUAGAGAAACUGACUCAUAAUCAGGAGGUCGCAGGUUCAAGCCCUGCACGGUCCA
rnacentral:tRNA from 1 species